rnacentral:rRNA from 1 species
UACGUAGGUGGCAAGCGUUGUCCGGAAUUACUGGGUGUAAAGGGUGCGCAGGCGGGUAUUUAAGUCAGCUGUGAAAGCUAUGGGCUCAACCCAUAGACUGCAGUUGAAACUGUAUAUCUUGAGUGAAGUAGAGGUAAGCGGAAUUCCGAGUGUAGCGGUGAAAUGCGUAGAUAUUCGGAGGAACACCAGUGGCGAAGGCGGCUUACUGGGCUUUUACUGACGCUGAGGCACGAAAGCAUGGGGAGCAAACAGG